CAAACCGGCGGAACCCUGGGCUACUGAAGCAGAGCACGUGAACUUAACCACUCGGCCACAGGGCUGCCCCUUCAGGUUGUUUUAAAACUAGGCCAAAGGAAAUUCCUUGGUUCAACACACGUAUAAUAAGCUACUGUAGCUAAGUGCUUCUGGAGGGAUACAAAGAUGAGAAAGUAAUGAACGAAGAACGUCUGUAUGAUGCAACAGAAGAGGCUGGAAAAUUUAGGAAUGAGGUGGAAGAAAUGGACAGGAAAAGGAGACUGAGCAGCAGAGUCUUUAAAAAGGCGUCUAUAGAUGUUUGGGAAGAUCUGGAGGUUCCUGAGGAAAGAGAAACUUGUUGCUGCCGGUGAGAGAACCUCGCUACUGGACAUGAGGUUUUCUUCGGGAAUCUUCCCUGGCCUAUUUUAUUCACUGGGCUUAGCAGGUAGGCUGCGCACAUAAGCUCAGCACUAGAAUUUCUCCAAAAGGCUCGUCCAUACGUCAUUUGCGUCUUCUGAUUUUCAAACCACAGGUAAUUUGCAUCUGAUUUACAAAUGUUGUGGCCAACUUAGUCAAAGGUCAGUAUCCAGGGAUACUAGAUCAGGAGUCUUUCUAAGCGUCUUCUCCUUACAUCUCCACGACCUUCACAUUAUCAAUCAAGGGUGGCGAUCCAACAUGAAGAGUGUUUAAUUCAUUCCUACGACGUCAGGGUUGGCAGCAGAUGGACAGACUGCCUGGCUAUUGGGAACUUCAUCUCUGUCAGUCUCCCGUCUGAUACCAACUUUGCCGAGCCUGGUGAGCACAUCGCCAGGAUUGCAAAAUCUCUAACUGCUUAUGAAAGUACAACUGGACCUGCUGAAUUUUCACACUGCAGGACAAACCUGUUCCUCCUCACCUGCCUGCCAAGAGGUUUACAAACACUUUUGACGAUCGUUCCCCAAACUUGAGCACAAUUAAAUUUUUAAAAAGGGUCUGUGUUCUUUUUGCUAUUAAAAAAUAAUACCCGCACUCGAUAAAAAAAUUUAGAAAACAUGGAAAAGUAUAAAGGAGACAAUAAAAGUCACCAUAAUCCCACUAUCCAAAGAUAGACCCUGUUAACAUUUUGGUGCAUUUCUUCCUAGCCGUGUUUAUUACACUUGUAGGGGGUUCUGUAGCAAAGACAGCUUUGCCAUCCUACUUGUUCACUUAAUAUUUUUGUUAAAUAAUGUUAAAAGGGGAAAUUAUUUUUCUUUCUUAGCCUACUCAAAUCUACUAAAGAAAAUAGCUCGUCUACGGUAUGAAUUCACAUUGAGGGGGUCACUUCCUCCACUCUAACACCCUUCUGUGCUCAUUCAUGGGGCACAGCAUUUGGCAAGAGAAUUACCCUGCUCUCCAGGGGCUUGUGCAGAGGUUGUAUUAGACUCAGGCAAGAGUGAUUCUGUCCAUGGUAAGGGUUAGUUAGGGUAGGGAGAAUCUGCUCAUUCUCCCUCUUGAAAUAUUCUUGGGGCUAAGGAUAUCCCAGGCUUAGAAAAGCAGCCUCCACUCCCUAAGAGAGGCACCGGUGCAUUUGUCAAAUAAUCUGCAUAUUGUCAUAAUAUUUGCUUCACCAACUGUAUAAUCCACCCUCAGGACAUUUUCACGUCAAAUGCUCGUCUUAUCUUUUUUCUUUUUUAAGAUAGGCACCUGAGCUAACAACUGUUGCCAAUCUUCUUUUUUCUUUUUCUGCUUUUUUCUCCUGUAGAGAGCACUGUAGAGAGCGAACCAGUGAUACCCUGGGCCGAAGAGGAGUGCGCAAACUUAACCACUCGGCCACGGGGCCAGCCCCUGUUCAUCUUAUCUUAAACUUGCCUUUUUCUUCUCACCUGUUCAUUAACAUUGAUCCUCAUCAGGCAAUUCUCUCAAUAAGCAUUUAUCGAACCCUGGCAGCAGUGGAAUUUUAAGAAUGGCAGUGAUCAGGGCCUCAAACCCCUUCCCUGGGCGAUGACUUAGACUAGAGAUUAAUGGUUUGGGGAGCCUGUGAGCAAUGGUUCUUGUCUCUGGCUACCUGCUGGAGUCACCUGGGAAGUGUUGAAGCUGUGCCCCGACCAGGCGAAUUAGCAUCUCUGAAGAUGGGACUCAGGCAGGUAGCUUUGAAAGCUCCCCCGAGUGAGUCCAAUGUGCACCCAGGGUUGAGAACCAGCGCCACAGAGCCGUGAUUUUCACCUAAUUGGCUGUACAUUAGAAUUACCUGAGGAGAUUUUUUUAAAAAAUUAAAAUGCCUGGGUCUCGCCCCAAAACAAAUGAGUCAGAAUCUCUGGCAACUGUGUUUUUUCAAAGCUCUUUCAGAUGAUCUGAUAUACAAUGAGUGUUAAGAAUCAUUACUGUAGGCAAUCCAGUGAAUGAAAAAAUCUAGAUUUGAACCCAUUUCUGGCUCUUUUGGUUUCAAGCCAUGCAUGGCUGAGCAUGACGAGUUGCCUCUGGGAGGCCAUCUGGGGUGAUGGAAGCAGCCCUGGGCUGAGAAGACGUGAUGGAACCUGAAGGUGUGGCAGCUGGCUUACUAUGUAACAUUCGCUAUGUGAUGGCAGACAAGUCACAUAACUUCUCUGGGCUGGGACCCCUGCCCGCCUGCCUAUGAUUUCUACCACACCUAGCGCUUUUAGACUUUCUUUCUUCAUUAAUCGAUGUUUUGCUGGUUUUCAUUUGGUGAACAGUAUAU